CCUACGGGUGGCAGCAGUGAGGAAUAUUGGUCAAUGGGCGUAAGCCUGAACCAGCCAAGUCGCGUGAGGGAUGAAGGUUCUAUGGAUCGUAAACCUCUUUUAUAAGGGAAUAAAGUGUGGGACGUGUCCUGUUUUGUAUGUACCUUAUGAAUAAGGAUCGGCUAACUCCGUGCCAGCAGCCGCGGUAAUACGGAGGAUCCGAGCGUUAUCCGGAUUUAUUGGGUUUAAAGGGUUCGUAGGCGGCCUUUUAAGUCAGCGGUGAAAGUCAGUGGCUCAACCCUAGAAGUGCCGUUGAAACUGGGAGGCUUGAGUAUGUUUGAGGCAGGCGGAAUGCGUGGUGUAGCGGUGAAAUGCUUAGAUAUCACGCAGAACCCCGAUUGCGAAGGCAGCCUGCCAAGCCAUGACUGACGCUGAGGCACGAAAGCGUGGGGAUCAAACAGGAUUAGAUACCCCAGUAGUC
rnacentral:rRNA from 1 species